rnacentral:rRNA from 1 species
UACGUAGGCAGCGAGCGUUGUUCGGAAUUACUGGGCGUAAAGAGUGUGUAGGCGGUGUUCUAAGUCUGUUGUGAAAUCUCCCGGCUCAACUGGGAGGGUGCGGCGGAGACUGGAAUGCUAGAGUAUGGGAGAGGUAAGCGGAAUUCCUGGUGUAGCGGUGAAAUGCGUAGAUAUACAGGAGGAACACCUGUGGUGUAGACAGCUUACUGGACCAUGACUGACGCUGAGACACGAAAGCGUGGGUAGCAAACAGG